UACGAAGGGGGCAAGCGUUGUUCGGAAUCACUGGGCGUAAAGCGUGCGUAGGCGGCAUUACAAGUCGGAAGUGAAAUCCCUGGGCUCAACCCAGGAACUGCUUUCGAAACUGUUUUGCUUGAAUCCGGGAGAGGUUGGCGGAAUUCCAAGUGUAGAGGUGAAAUUCGCAGAUAUUUGGAGGAACACCAGUGGCGUAAGCGGCCAACUGGACCGGUAUUGACGCUGAGGCACGAAAGCGUGGGGAUCAAACAGG
rnacentral:rRNA from 1 species